rnacentral:lncRNA from 1 species
CAGGGAAAGAUUUUAAAGCAUAUUCAUUUUUUUAAAAAACCCUUACAUUGGUUCCAAGGCAGAAGAGUGGUAAGGGCUAGGCAAUGGGGGUCAAGUGACUUGCCCAGGGUCACACAGCUAAGCAUAUUCAUUUCUAUUCAUAACCAGGACUUCCAAAAAAGCUUUUAAAAUUGUUCCAUUUAAGAACACAGGAAAGACAAUAGGAAAAGAUGCAUAUUCUGAUCUAGGAAAUAGGCAGCCUGGUGUGUUGCUUGGAGGCCUUGUCCCACCAGCAAGAAACAGACACUUAAACCAACUCGGAAUAUUUACAGAUUCUUAGUUUAUUCCUUCUGGUUUCUGCCACAGAAUUGCGUGUUACAUGCGACGUGGCUGGUGGCAGCUAGGCUUUUUUUUUUUUCCCUCAAGCUUAAAUAAAUCUGGGCGAAGACUUAAUAAACCUUAUUUAGAUUUAAAACAUCCCCCCAGUGACCAGUGAUGUAUCACCUGGUGAAAAUCUUCAAAUAAUUUCCUAUAAUGCCCUCUUUCCCUCUGAUUUCUACACGGUGUAACUAAUUAGCCAAACGAGCUUAGAAACAUUCCAACUGGUUUUGUCAAGUUUGCGCGGAAUUGCCUGACCCCAAAGUUCACAAAUACAAAUGGCUGGAGUUCAUCGUGAAUGCAAGGAAAAUGAAGAGAAAUCUCGGAAGCUCGUUUAAUCAGCAGGGUGCUAAAAGUGUCUGGGAAUCAGUUCCAGGCACUCCAAAUUUCCUGUUCGUAGUGGCACUCCUCUUGGUUCUCCAAGCAGCACCUUUCUAGAUUCUCAAGCUUUGACCUCAAGUCAACAAACACCUGAGCCUGGAUGCUGCCUUGAAAUUCUGCAAGUUGCAUCUCCAAAUCAUCAAUUUGCAUCCAUUGGAAACCAUUUAAUUCCAAACUACUAUAGACUACUACAUCAGGAUACUUCAUUAUUUUCAUGAUCUGUUCUAAGCCUUUAAAUUGAUUAAAUCUAUCACUGAACUGGUCAAGUAAUGAGUCUAAAACACCCUGGUACUUUAUAGGUAAGGGUUCCAUUUCAUUUUGUACAGCUGCACUGGCCUUCUCAAAAUACUUUGCUACUUGAGAAAAAUACUUAUAAGUUUUAGUUUCUACAUCUUGCUUGAAAGUUUUAAGUUUACUUUCAAAAGCUUUUAUGUAUCCAAUCAUAACAUCAAUUCUUUUGCCAAAACCUUGUAACUUUAAGUAACCAAUUACCAGACACUAAUCAUUAAUCAAAUCCAAUAAAAGAAACAGAUUGACAGAUGAAGUUAG